GCAGCGGGGUCUGGGGGGGCCGCUGGCGGCCCCCACCCACGAGGCUGCCCCGCGCCAGCUUCUGCAGCUCGACGGGCACCACGGCGCUGGGGCAGUGCUUCUCGAUGUAGUCCUGGAAUCCCUGCACUCCCAUGCAAGCAUCUGCCUCAGCUGCCAGCCUGCUCCUACAAACCCCACAGCUUGCACAGAGCAGUCGAGCUGAGCUGAUGCCAGGAAAGUGAAGAUCUUGUAAGACAAUGUUUAAACUUGUGUAUUCCCAGCUUUUUUACAGGUUCCCAGAUCAGGAUGAUGCAUGGAAAAAGCACGCAGAUAAAGCAUCAUUUGCCCUAACAUGUCAUCAGAAACUGACUUCCUAAAGGUAUGUUUCAAGUUGGAGAAUACAAACAGAUGUGUGAUAUUUUUCCAUUUCGGAGCAAUCAUUAUAAUAUCACUAUGAUGCAGAUUACCUUCAUGACUUCUUAAUCUCAAUGCUGACAGAGAGAGAGUGAUCUAAAUUUGCAGAAGCAUCAUCAUUGAAGAACUCUCAAUUUAGUGCAGCAAUUCUUGAAAAUAUAUUGGCCCAGCUGACAGUACUGGGGAAAAGAUUAUCUCUUUCAUGGACCAACACUGCAACAGCCCCUGCUCUCUAAUCUAAUGAGGGAAACAGCUCUAAUCUAAAAUCUAUUAGGCUAUUUAUUUGUCUUGUAAUUUCCUCCUAAAUGAAAAUAGAAUUAUUCAGCUUUUUGUCAUGAUGUAUAGAAAAGUGUGAAGUUAAAAAUAAAUCUCAGCUCCUCCUCAGUGGAGGGACAAUGGCUGUCUUUUUAAACUAAAAGCCCACUGGUCCCAUUGCCUUCUGCUCAACAGUCGGGCUUCACAGAAAGAUUUUUUGGUGUUUGAGGGUCAGUUUCCCCAGAGAUCAAUAAUUACAGCAAGGAGAAGUGCAGAGAGGUUGGACAUCUUUACUGCCUGCAGUACUACCUCUACGUGUCUGACUCCAGCACCAAGCAGCUGGAAUAUAAAUGGACUGAAAAAUUCACUGAAAUACUUUGACAUUCUGUAGAUGCAGAAUUUGAAAGGAUUAUGAGUGUCUAUUUUUAAAAAUAAAUUAAUAAAAGAUAUUGUAAGGCUAUGAAAAAUACUGUGUGGUAUAAAGGAAGAUCAGGAAAUUCUAGGUUUUCUCAUAGUGUAAGGCACACAGGCAUUCACACAAAGAGAUACAGUGUGCAAAAAUAUGGAAACAAUACAAAGAAAGCCAUGCCCUGCUGGAUUUCACUGUGUCCUGUCUGCCUGGUUCCGCUGAGUGGGGAUCACGGGACAGCCUGCCCAAGCCAGCCUGUGUCUCGCUGAAAUCACCACGAGUAUCACCCCAAUGGUGCUGCAGCUCUGAAAAUUUGUGACUGGAAGCAAAUGAUUUUGAAGGAGAGAAAAAACAGGUGCAGAGAGGUUCUUGUCCUCAAAAAGCCUGUUGAACCACUCUUUUUUUCCUUGGAAGAAGUUAUAUUUAUAUGACAACUUUACAUGUAGCAGUGACAGUGGCAGCAUAUUUCCAAGAAAGUGGAAUUACUAAUGUCUUGGCAGCGUGAGAUUGUUUUUAUCCCAGUUGCAAAUGUUGCUCCGUAUGUCACAAAACCAUUAGUUCCAACAGCCUGACCUUCCCCAUUAAAAGGGCAUAACAACACCUCAUGUUUGUGGCUGAGAUAUGAGGAGACAAAGGUGAUACCAGUGUGUGACACAUUUCAGUGGUGUAUCCUGUUGGCAAGGAGUUGGCUUUGAGAAAACAAGCCAGCCGGGGAGGUGUGUCGUCCUUCCUCUUUUCUGGUGUGUGAAUAUUAAGUUAGUUGUUUGACAUCAUCUAUGUUAAGAUUUUCGUAACACCACUGGCUUAAAUCUGAAUUAUACCAUAGAAAUACUGGUUGGACAGGGCCUUUAGAUCAGCUCCUGCCUUCUGCUCAAAGCAGGACUGAACCAACAUUGGAUUAGGUCUGCUGUGAUUUUACCUGGCCAAAUGUUUGGAAUCCCCCUCUGGGUAUCCUUUUCCCUCUGCAGUCCUCAACAUUUUCAGAUUUUAAGAUCAUGACAGAUCUGUCUCUGCAAAACACUGUUUUUAGCAAAGCAUCACAUGUCCACAAAGAUACCUUCCUGAUUUCUUUUUUGAAAUCUGAGUUAUAAUGAGGAUAAACGGUAUGUGAUUCCUUAAACCUAAAGGAGACAUCCAACAUAAAAAAGCAAUCUUAAUUCUAAAAUGGCUAUUUUAGUCAUGACUUGUAAACUAUGCAGUUUUGUCUACUUGAUAAUACCCAGCUUAGUGUUAGAUCUAAAAAAAAAAAAAAAAAAAAAAAAAAAAAAGAAAUCGGAAAACUACUCCUUUGAUACACAUUAAGUUAUUCAGUUAGUAAAUUAGUGAAUCUUAUCCUGUUAUUAGCUAUUAGCAUGUUACACUUCUUGAUGUUGCUCAUGAAGAAUGCCUAUGGAAAUGAGGGAAAAAAUUGCCUUUUGAAGUUCUGUCACUUGAUAUGUUGACAUUUCUUUUAAUUUGUGACUGUCCUCUUGAAUGCAGUAUUCCACUGUCUGGUUUUAUGAGAGAUUCUUCAUUUUUAAUUUGUUCUCCCGUUGAUCAAACUUUUUUUUUUUAAUGGGUAACUCUCAAGAAAAUUAGCCUUUCAAGGAAACCAUGUUCUCCUAAAUAGUUAUUAAUAUCUUUCCUAUUCAGUACUUUUAGCUCUUUGUCAUUAGGGGACUUUCAAGGCCUGGUUAACCUGUGCCUGGUACUACUGAAGAGAGCAAGAAUCUCGCUGCAGAUUUCAGGGAGAGCAAGAGAAGACCCUGGGAGUGAAGAAACAUAAUUUGUAUUCACUUUGGCAGAUGGCUGUUUUCUAGGAGAACCUACAAACAGUUCUUGAGGCUCUAGGGCAGACUGAGGAGGGAGUAAAAUGAGUGAAAGUAAACAAGUGUGCCUCUGCUGUACCAGGACAUGAUAUGCACUUAAGCCUUUGGGCAUGUGAGAAAUCAACACGUGAUGCAAGUGUAUAUAUAGAAUGAAUGGACUUGGGACAAAUGUUUGAAGACUUCUUGCAACAAGUUGCUCACAAAUGAUCUACAGCAAGAGUUACUUCCAGAAUAGUUACUGCAUAUGUGUUUGCAAAAAAGAUAUUCAAGCAAAUCAAUCUGCUUGUGGACAAAUAGUGAAGAGAGAAAAAGGAAAAAUUCCUCUAACAAAUAUGAAACUGCAAAUUAUUCACUCAGCUGAGUUGGCAACAACCAAUUUUUGUGGUAGUAGGAGCUGAUGGAGUAGGAGAGAGAAAGAUACCAGGACUGAGAUUCUUUUGGUCACCGAAGUCAACUAUGGCAAAAAGGUGCAUUCUGCAAGAAUGUUCUAGGCAAACUCCUCAGCAACAGAAGGAUGUGCUGCAGAAGGUGAUAUUCAGGAGCCAUUUCCAGUAGGAUACAGGAUGAGGAUAUCUGCAUCCAGCUGAGCUGUGCCAAAACUACCUUGACUUCCUGCCUCAUACCUUUCUUUCCAUGCUGCAAAUCCAUGUUAGUUUCAAGACUGCUUGAAAGGUCUGUAGCUGGCAAGGCCAGCCCAUGGCUGGUGAACAUCCUACCCACUGCUGGUACUUUAGGAGCCCUUUCUGCAGCACCUGCCUCCCUGGGACAGGAGCUGGAGCAUACAGUAAUUCAUCACCUCAUUGUCAGAGCAUAUGUUGGUGGACUAACUUCAACAAUUUCACUGCAGGAGAGCUUUAAUUCUAACUAUUGUAAGAAUAUAGACAAAUUUCUCAACCUGCUUCAGUCUACAAAUUGCAGAUACAUAUUCAGGUUGUUUGAUCCUGGAUACAAAACUCACCACUGCCCUCUAUAUCUACCUUCUUCAUUCCCUACAAUCUGUGAGCAUUUGCCCAGAGAGGAUAAGAAAACAUUCAGCUGCUGCAGAUCCACCUAAACGCACCAGUUUUUUUGUUUGUUUGUUUAAUUUGCUACAUAUGAUUAACUCCACUGAGUUUCUGCCAGGCAGAAUUUGCAACUCAAAGUACCCCAUGAGUGUGCUGCAACACUGCCAGGAAUUGAAUACCACUAGUCUUCAUAAUCGCUGUUUUUCCAAAGAUCAGGUAUAGCAGACAGACCAUUUUAGGCUAUAAAUGGAAAUCAGGAAAUGAGAUCUUCUUUCCCUGCUAGUUCCUCUCCUGGGAAUUUUAGUCCUUUUCUCUGUGCACAUGCUUUGGUUGUUGGUAUAUUGGUAAUGUGGGUCUCUCAGACCAUCUGCCACUGGAGCCUGUUCUGAAGUGCUGCAAUGCCAGUGAACAUGGGAAAUCAUUCCCACUAGUACCAAUGUGCUGUUUGUUGGCAUAAUAUCACAUGUGAGACCAAAACCACAUCAGGAUAGCCCGAUUUACCCCAUGAUUCUGGGGACAGGUGAUUCAAAAGUAAGGUUUACAAAGUAAGUAAAGGCAUUUCCCAGCUACCUGCACUUCCUUUUCUAACAGUUGUAAUCCAUUUGCAACUCUCAGUUUUGCAGAUUGCCUGUUACCUCCUGUGGAUGAUCAAAGUCUAGUCAUGAAUGCAGGCACUCUGGACUUACAGUCCUGUCUAUAUGAGGGAUGUCUGGCCUAGCCUUCAGUUUAUAGGACAGAUAUUGCCAUCUCAAUCAUCCAUAUCAUAUGGAUCUAAUGCAAGAUUUUUGCAUGCCCUUUAAAUCUGAGAAGUUCCAAUUGUCAUUCUUCUAUCAUCAAUUCUUCUGUCAUCAAUUCUGUCAUUCUUCAUGAAUUAUGUAUUUUUCUCUUUUCUGGAAAAAGCUUUGCAUUAUUAGGAGGUAAAGAGAUUAGGUUUUGCUACAGCAACAUGAUCUCAGAACUUGAGAACAAACCCUUAGCAUCAUAUGCUCUUUUCUAUUGCCUGUAAUAGUAAUGAGAAGCAUUUUCUGGGCUAGAAAAUACCCUCAUUAGUUCAUGACAGGGUGAUUCUAGGACUGUAUGCCCUUGUUUGAUUAAACGCUAAUCACAGGUGUUCUUUGACAGGGUCAAAAAAUAAUUACCCUUUGAUAUUUUAGUCAAUUGUAGUACUACUGAGAAGCACUCUUUUCCUGCCUAUAGAAAUAAAGAACCCAUUUAACCUUGGAAAAAUAUUAUUCAUGCUAUUUUUUUUACUGAAGGAACAGGAGUGGGAUUUUUUGAGUACAGACCUAUUCAGUGAGAGAUAUCUUAGUGUUCUGGGGUGACUUUAUGAUGCUUGUAUCCCCACUUGUCAGUUCAGCCCUGAAAUAAGUUUUGCACCUUUAGGACUGGUUCCAAGAGUGAAGGGGCAGAGCGAGAAGAAGCGCAGAGUUUGUUCUCAGAAACUGCACUUGCUCCCCCACAUCCUUCUCCUGGACUGUGUUGUCUGCAGACAGACAAGACAGCAGGAUAGAGCUCUCCUUUGCUUUUUAGUUAGUAUUUAGCUCGCUGAGGCAGGGAAUUUCUCUGGACUGUGGUUUUUCUUUUUUCGUGGAACUGUUUAAACCUGCUCUGGACUGAACACCCAGAAGAGCACCAGCAGCUCACACCUGUGGCCCACCAGGCUGGGCCUGGGCUGUGGCAUUUCCAGGGCCAGAGGGACUGAGCAGAGACUGAGUGAGCUGACCUACAACCAUCGAAAGGGACUUUCUGAGUUUUUCAUCAUUUUGGAGCAGUGAGAGGGUUUAUUGUUUAAUAUUGUUAAAUUUUUUGUGCUCGUGAAUAUUUUGCCUGUUAAAUACAGAGGUUUUUUUCCACUUUCCUCCAAAGAAAUCUUUUCCCAAACCAGUUAAAGGAAGGGCCACUUAAAUCUGCUUUCUAGAGGAACCUCUUUGGUGGUUUUCUCACAAAUUUGCCCUAAACCAAGACACUUAGUCAACGGGGGUCAGCUCUGGCACUGAGAGAAAAUGAAAGAAUUUGAGACAAUAUGUGAAAAAAAAACAUAUGUCUUUAACUAAAUUAAUAGAAAACAUAUUUUGUCUUUUAUCCAGCCAUCAUGUGAUAAUCCUGACAUCCCAAACUGUUGUCACAGUCAUACGUUCUCAUUCUCUUAGUCUUCCACUUUGCUUUGUCAUUUACAGCAUCCAUGUGCUUGACUUCAAUGCUGUUCACUAGUUACUUGGUUUGAUAUUAAAAUAUUAUUAAAAUUGAAAAAACAUUUAGAAAGUUGGGGGACUGUGACCCAGUAAAAAUUCUCAGAGCACAGUGAAAGAUGUAAAGUGACUGAACUCUUGGAUUUACUUUUAAGAGGUCCUUUCUCCUCUGUCCUUGCCCACCACCUUGCUGCAGCCACCCUUGUUGACGGUGCUUCCUCUGCACCUUUCUUAUGGAGGCUCCUUUUUUUUUUUCACAUGAUUUAUUGAGAUGUCUUCAUCCUCAUCCCUCUCUAGUCCUCCUUCAGAAACAGCUGGCAGCCCAGCUAUUACCUGUGCCACCUUGCUCUAUCACUGGCUCAAAGCCUUUAGACUAUUGAUGGUAGCAGCUGACCCCCAUCCUUUAAUCCCACAGUUUUCUCUGUAAAGCCCCUUGUCCCAGCACUCCUUUCUCCCUGAGCCACUGUGGUUCCUCAGAAUUAGAGGAGCAGCAGUGAAUAGAUGACAGCUGUGAGAACACACAGCUCUUAGCCAGCAGCAUGCUGACCUACAGCAGUCCAUGAGUCCAGUAACCACUGAAACUUUGUAAAGUUAUGCCUAAUGGGGGGCAACUACAGGUCCAUCCCUGUAUUUGCAGCACCCACCAGGUGCUUGAUUCCAUUGAUGAUCCUAUGGGAUAUAAAGGAGAGUUUGUAUUAGGAUAUAUAUCAUAAAAGCAGCUUUUCUCAGAAUAGGAAUUGAGAUCAGGAGGCAGAAACCCUCACUGCCUAAAUGGGGCUUAAAUCUGAACAAGAAGUGUGGGCUAAUCUAUCUGCCAGUCCUCUCCUGCUAGAGCUGUGCUGCUUGAACAAGGAAUACUUUAGUUUUGUUAUUCAAGUUUUCUUAUAUUGCCCCAUGCCCACAUGCCCCAUACACUGUGCAGGCACAAAGGAACAGGUCAUUCUUGUGCAGAACUAAAUCAUGAUCCUCAUGUCCUGCUUUCCCAACCUUCAACCAGAGGUUAUUUUUCACCACCAACCUAAAAGGACUCAGAAGAAAGAUCUCUUUGGUUUAAAUAAUUAACUACUUUGACCUGGAUAUUCUGAGAGGCCCCACUAAUCUCAGCCUUCACAGCAGUUUCUAAAAUAAAGUAAAAGCAAUAGAAUAAGAUGAAAUAAUAUAACAAUAAAUGAAUUGAAAUAAAAUAAAUUAUUCUGAGUCACCAUUAGUUUUAUGAUCAAGCUCUUCUGCUGCAUUCACAGCUCCCUCUUGGGAUCAGACCUGUGCUUCUCCAUCCUGUUUGGUUUGUGCCCAAGGCAAUGGCAAGACAGUAGUUUAUUUCAACUGAGAAUUUGAUGCCAGGCUAUUCUGGGACUGAGUGAAACUUAUCCUCCAUAAUUUCUUUACAACCAGUGAAGAGCUCUUUCUAAGAGUAGCCUGAUGUGGUACAAAACACAUAUGCUUUUAAAUAUUCUGGGCUUGUACUGUGUUAACAUCAAGAAAGGACGAUGGCCUGGAGAGUGAAGGGUAUUCACUUGAGAGGCCACAAAAGUGCUGUGGCUGUGACAGAAUGGGCAGAAAUAUACCACUUAACCAGUCCUGAGGCUGCUAACAGGGGACCAAAGAAAUCCACAGGAGAGCUGGAAAGUUUAUGAUGUGUCAUAACACAUCACUCUCUAGUGCUACACGGACUUUUAUUCCAAAAAUGUAUGUACUUUAAUAAAUACCAAUAUUUAAAUCAACAUCAGUAUUCAAACCAAUAUCAAUAUUUAAAUAUUUAAAUAUCAAUAUUUAAUAAAUAUCAAUCUGUGAUUUUAUUUCUCUGUUGCAGAAAGAAGGCAAAUAGGUAAGUUAUUGGGGUUCUCUGGGUGUGCAGGCACUGCCCAUAGUGUGUUUAACCAUGCCUUGGCAGGAGCCAAAGCAGGUGGGCCCAGGCAGGGAGCCAGACAGUGAGGGGACAGUGGCCACAUCCUCUGCUGUCACCUGACGCCCAGUACCUGUCCCUUGGUGUCACCUCCCUCAGCCACAGGUUAGUCAGUCAGCUGUUAGGGACACUUGCUCUCCACCCAGCACUGAGUGCCAGAUGAUUGCACAGACUUGGGCAGGGGAAGGGACAGCAGGGUGACACAGCUGAGGCCCUAACAUCUGCCUGCAGCUGGGCAAGAGGUGUCGUGGGCACAAAGGGUCUCUGCUUACCUGCCCCAGGCACGGCGGCGCCACGCGCUGCAGAAGAGUCUGGGCUCCUGCCUGUGACGUGCACACUCAGAGGAGUCUUCAGGGUGGUUCCUGGUGUGCUGGCACUCAGACACCCAUCUGGUCAGUGGCAGUUGCUGGUGAUCGUUGGGAUGUGUCCCAUGUCCCUGCACACAGCAGGAUAUUGGGACCAGCUCUUGGCACCCUCUGCCAAGGCUGAGGUCUGCAAGUGACAGGUUCUGCCCAGCCCUGACCUGCGCAGCACCACCAGCCAGAUCCCAGGAUUUUAAUGUCACUUAGCAAAUCUCACUUGCAUCUUGGUUCUGGCUGAGACCAAUCUUCAGUGCUUGAGACGAUGGGAAAGAAAAACAACCCAACACCCGUAAGUUAGAUAAUUCACCAACAGGAUUUUUUUUCUUACUCCCACAGAUAACCCUAGGAGUCUAGCAGGGGAAAAACAAAAAGUGCCUUCUGUUUCCAAUUACAGCAGUCCACCAAAUCCCUCAGGACUCACAACAAAAAGCCAUUUUCUCCCUUCCGGAAUUUUUACUUAGUUCCACGAUCCUUCCACAAGCUUCUCAAACUAUUUCUGCAAUCAUAAGGUGCUUCAGUAUUUUUUUCCUCCCUUUAUGGUUAACUGUAUUCCAAUUUCCAGCCUGCAUUAACUCAAGACUAAUUGAUUCCUGUUAAAAGGGAGUAGUUAACUUUUAGCUGAUGGAGUUCUUCCAGCCUGAUACUUAUCCCUAAGGGUAUUUAUCAAUAGUUGUCUUUUGCUGUGCUUUUUUUGGUGGGGCUGAAAAAGAGAAACUGAUGUUUAUGAAAUCCUUCAUUUACAGGAAUGAGUAUCUCCCUUUACCUGGGAGCCCAGAAUGGGUGCUAUGAAUGGGGUCCCAUAUGUCCAAUUUCAUAAAUCACAAGACUGAAAUUUAGCAGCAAUUUUUAAUUGGGGUAUAAAAUAAUACAAUAAAAUAUAAUGAAGUGGUUACAAAGAGUAAUUUGUCAAUGGUUUGGAUAAAGCAUAAGUGAAACUGAUUGGGGUAUGGGGAGGGCUUCUCGCCCUGCCACAUGUACAAAGGGCAAAAGAUCCAAGCACAGCUUUUAUACUGUAUGCUAAUACAUAUUCAUCAAUAGUUCCUCCUAUUUUCCUUUCUUAACAUCUACAUCACUCUACUGCACGGCUCCCAUUGUUGCUCUGGGCUCUUCUGGUCUCUUCAGGGCUCUUCUUGGAGGAACACCGAAGGUCUUCCUUGCUGUCCUCUGAAUGACCUGGCAGGUUGCACAUGCACAUUGAGCUUGAUGCAUUAUUUUCCAAGUGAGCCUCAUUAUUUCAUAGAUAAGACCACUAUUUUAGGUUCCCUAUCUGGAAUGGUCCCAGUUUUAUGAUAUUCAAUGUCGAUCCUGCUCUGGGAGUUGCCUUUUAACUUCAAUUGUUGCCAAUUUUGGUUUGGGAGUCAGUUCCUCACUUCCUCCAUUCCCAAGGCUGAAUCCAGCUCUUGCAUCCUGCUUUCCACAUGUAUUCUUGAAGAAACCCAUCUGCUUCAUAACACUAAUCACAUAUACGUUUCCAAUUAUUUUCCCAAAUUAUUGAUAUAAGUACAACUUAUUCAGCAUGAAUCACAUCCAUUUGUCACAUGGGUCUGCAGUUUGCUAAAACACAGUAUUCUCCCAUGUAAAAGUUACUUAUUUUCGGCUUGCAGUGAAGGUGAUCAGGUACCAGGGUAGGAGUCCUGGUCGGUGAAUUCACAAAGCCCCACGCUGGCGGGGAAGGGCUCAGCUCUGCCAGCAUCCCUCAGCAGCAAAGAGUCACUGUCACCUCCCUCUGCAGACCUGUCUCUGUCACUUUCCUACAGUAUUACUGCUUUGUAAAAAAAGUUUAUCCCAGCAGAUUUUGACUAGCAAACAAAAGAGCCUUUGGGAGCACUUCCUUCAGUUUUGGUUGAAUUCUCUGUGGUUGUUGCUGGGUUGCCCUGUCCCUGCCCUGCAUUCCAUUCCCUACUGCCUUCCUUACAGCCUGCCACCUCUAGCCCCUGCGGUGUUACAGCGAGUUCUUGCAAGAUCUGAGCUCAGCUGGGCAGGGCACAGCCCUACCCCACCCCUCCCUCUGCCCCUGUCCCAAAUCUCAUGCACCUCGUCUACCAGGACAAUGCCAGCAGUGAAUAUCUGUGGCAUCUGGAGGGGCACGAGCUCCACCUGGUGCAUUCAGCACCAUAAAAAACCCCAGGCUGGAGCUGGAGCUAGAGAAGAUGAUCUCCCACUCAUAGAUUUGGUAUAUUUGGGCAUCCAUUGUAUUUGCUCCCCACAAAUAUUCUGUCCAAAUGUGAUUAACGAUAAAAAUAUUGGCUAAGAAAGCAACCAAAGUAAUUAUUGCUGCAUGUUUGUGGAGCAACAAAGAGUUGGAAGGGGCACAUGUCCCCCAGACACUGUGCUGGCCACAUCCAACAGCUCCAUGUAGGACAAGAGUGUAAAUUCCAGCUCCACGUGGGACAAGAGUGCAAAUUCCAGCUCCCUUUGUACCCUGAGAAGGUCCAACGGCAUCUGCAUCUCCUCCAUUGCUGCUCCCCUUCCUGGGAGGGUGGUGAGGGGCUGUGUGCCAGAGCAAGUCUGGGACACACCACAGCAGCACUCAGAGAGGGCUAAGAGAAUUUUUAGGGUCCCUGUCUGGUUUUACUUUGGGCAUGAGUUGAGCAGUGACCAGGACACGUGAGGACACCAAAUCUCCCAAACCCUUCCCUGCCAGAGGCUGACACUGCUGCCUCACACAGACAGUGGGGCUCCUUCCAGCACUGCCAGGCUCACACAGGACCUCUGCUUAGAUUAGGUUUUCAUAAAAAAUGAGCCUGUGUGUCACUGUACAGCCAAAUUCCCCUGGCCGGAGGGGACACUGUGCCUGCAGCUGCGGGGUUGUCCUUCUCCAUCCUCGCACCCUCCCGUGGUGGGGCAGGAGUGAGGUGCUUUGCUGAGAUCCUCCCCCAGGCAUUUUGCCACCAUUUUGUUGUUUUACCCAGCAAUGCAUAAACUCCAAAACUAAACAUAGUGACCGGGUUCCUGCCCCGAGCAAAGCAGUGAUAAGGAGUGCAGCACAGCUGCAACACAUUGGCUCUCCGCCUCAUCUUAGCAGCUCAAAAGACAUUUUCCACAGACCUUUUCAACUUUGCAAGGAGCUUUCUGGACAAUUAAAUGAUCAGUGAACUUUGCUUGGUGUUGAGAGGAAUAGUGGAUUUGUCUUUACAAACAAGCUGUGGGUCUGCUGGUAGAUAAAACUAGCACUGAAGGAUAAAAGAAACAAUGGGAAGGAUUCCACUGAUGGAUGAAUGGAAAAAAGAUAUUUGCUUUUACAAAUAAACUUUAGGUUUGCUGAUAAAUGAAAUUAGACAUUGAAAGAUGAAGGAAACAGUGGGGAAAACCCCUAAAUUCCAUAAGAGUUAAAAAUUAAAAAGGAGAGUUGUACAUUAGAGGAAAAUCUCUGGUAUCAGGUGUUUUGGAAAGUCUGUACCUCUCAAAUACCUCAGGCAAUGGGGAAAGAGAGAAGGGAAAUGCGGCUGGAAAAUUAGGAUAAAAAGGAGGCUGCAUCCUCAAAAAAUUUGAGACCUCAGGGGAAUGCCCCAUGGCUUCUCCCUUUAUUUGAAUAACGAAAAAGGAUUCCUCUGUCUCCUUUUUGGACAUAAACCUCUGAUGUUUGGGGAUUAAUUUUCCUGACAGUGUUAAGGUACAAAACUCAGCUAAGGAGCUGAAGUGGAGUCAGACUGGAUAUUUUGGAGGACUGCAGGAAUCGAGUCUGCCUGAUCCCGUAUAUUAGAAAAUCAAGGCACAGAGAACAGACUGCUGCUUUCAGUUGACUUAAUUAGUUGAUACACUGAAACUAUGAAUAAAGGGGCUGUGCAGUUCUUUGGCUUCAGUAGUAACCCCGCAACCAUGACAACAGCGAGGCAUUGCUGAUCACCAUGACAAAGCCGAGGGCUGCUGCCACAGAGCCCAUCAGGCGUUCGGUGUGAGUGGAAAAACCCACCCUGAAAAACAAGCUCUGAAAAACUCACCCUGCCACUGCUGUACCCCACGCUCCAGUUCUAGUCCUCUGCAAAAAUCAGGUUUUGGGAACGGGUUUGGGGCGCUCACACAUGUCCACAUCAUUCCAUGAACAGUAACAGCAGUAUCUUGUGAAGCCAGGAUGUAACACAGAGGUUUCUUAAAAAAUAGAGAUUUGAAUAGUUAGAGGCCAGUAACAGAAUGCUGCGCCUCUGCCUGCCCCAAGCUCCCAGCCUGGCCUGGCACAGGGGAAUUCUCCAGGCUCCAGCCCACAUCUUGAACAUUUUGUCCUAGAUCUGAUUCCAAAGGACAAUAAAAAAAUUCCCUGUUUGCUCCCAGCCCUUCCCUCUGGUUCACUCUGUGGUAAGAGACAGGCUCAGCGGUGAGUUGGCAGUCACAGGGAUGACAUUAUCACAGGGUGUACAGGCAUGCAUCCCCUCCAGAGCACAGUGUAUCCUCUUCCAUCCUGGUACCCCCAUGGAAUAGCCCCAGUUCCCCAAGACCCUUCCCUCAGGGUGGGCACAUCCUACACCCACAGGGAUGCUCCAGCUUUGCAGAACAAGGAGGGGAGGAAUGAAAAAGAGGGAACUUUGCUUUUUCAUCUGGAAAACAUCAUCUCAGGCUGUCCCCCCACUGGGAUCCAGCAGGGACCCCCUGGCACAGCUGAGCCCCCCACUCCCUUGCCCACUGGUGGCCAGCACAGUCCCACCUGCCCUGCACUGGGGCCAUUGCUCCUGGGGACACUGUGUUUGACACUAGAGCCUGAGCUGUUGAUACUGAGCACAGCCAAAAGUUUACUCAGAGAGAUUAAAUAAAGAAAAUAAACAGUGCUGUGAGAAGGACAUGGAAUUGAGGCACUUUCCCAACAGGACCAGCUCUGCAUGUGUGUGAAUGCAGAUGAAGCACCCAGGGAAGGGAGGUAACUCAAAGCAUCUCAGAGCUGAUUAAAAAGAGAUGGAGAGCCCAGGCUGACUCCAAGAGGAUCCCACACCUCUGGAACAGGGGCACAGCCCCACUCUGGGCACUUCUCAUUCAGCUGGAGCUGGACACAGGAAACCUGCUCAUAGUGUCAGCUCCAGCUGAAGUGGAGCAUUUGGGUUUGCUUUGCAGCAAACCUAUUGUGUUUUCCCAUGGAGAAACCAUCCAGGCAGGUGAUUUCCAAACAAUUUUCCUUGUCUGCUUUUGUAAUAAGAGGUAGUAGAAACCAGUGAAGAAUAAACAUACAAUCACGGAAUGGUUUGGGUUGGAAGUGACCUUAAAGCUCUUCUAAUUCCAACCCCCUGCCAGAGGCAGCGAGACCUUCCAGUAGGUAGAAGGAAAUCGAAGGAAAAGGACAAAUAAAAGCAUCCAGCUGCUGAACUCUACAAGUUGCAUGUGGCUUUGCUUGUCUUUGCUCAUCAGUAAACAGAAAUAUUCUGCAUUGCUAAUUGUCAGCUUCUUCAUAUCAUCUCUUAGUGUUGAAUAAAUAUAAAAUAAAUACAGAAA